rnacentral:tRNA from 1 species
GUGGUUUGUAGCUCAGUGGUAGAGUACUUGCCUAGCAUGUGUGAGGCCCUGGAUUCAAUCCUCAGCACCACA